rnacentral:rRNA from 1 species
UACGUAGGGGGCAAGCGUUGUCCGGAUUUAUUGGGCGUAAAGAGCGUGUAGGCGGUCAGAUAGGUCCGUUUGUGAAAACUCGAGGCUCAACCUCGAGACGCCGAUGGAAACCAUCUGACUAGAGUCCGGAAGAGGAGAGUGGAAUUCCUGGUGUAAGCGGGUGAAAUUGCGCAGAUAUCAGGAAAGAACACCCCGUGGCUAAGGCGGCUCUCUAGUACGGUACUGACGCUGAGACGCGAAAGCGUGGGGAGCGAACAGG